AUGCCUCACCAACGGCUUCCUGACGGUGUGGGCGGUAUUCAACUGGAGCA
rfam:Nereida ignava strain CECT 5292 genome assembly, contig: contig000010